rnacentral:rRNA from 1 species
UACGAAGGGGGCUAGCGUUGCUCGGAAUCACUGGGCGUAAAGCGCACGUAGGCGGACUCUUAAGUCGGUGGUGAAAUCCUGGAGCUCAACUCCAGAACUGCCUUCGAUACUGAGAGUCUCGAGUCCGGGAGAGGUGAGUGGAACUGCGAGUGUAGAGGUGAAAUUCGUAGAUAUUCGUCAAGAACACCAGUGGCGAAGGCGGCUCACUGGCCCGGUACUGACGCUGAGGUGCGAAAGCGUGGGGAGCAAACAGG